rnacentral:rRNA from 1 species
AUUGAACGCUGGCGGCAGGCCUAACACAUGCAAGUCGAGCGAGCGGCGGACGGGUGAGGACUGUAUGGGGACUGCCCGAUAGAGAGGGAUAACUACUGGAAACGGUAGCUAAUACCGCAUACUAUCGGAUAACCCAUAUGUGAUUAGCUAGUUGGUGAGGUAAUGGCUCACCAGGGCCACGAUCCCUAGCUGGUCUGAGAGGAUGAUCAGCCACACUGGGACUGAGACACGGCCCAGACUCCUACGGAGGCAGCAGUGGGGAAUAUUGCACAAUGGGCGCAAGUCUGAUGCAGCCACGCCGCGUGAAUGAAGAAGGCCUUAGGGUUGUAAAGUGCUUUCAGUAGGGAGGCGUUACCGACAGAAGAAGCACCGGCUAACUACGUGCCAGCAGCCGCGGUAAUUC